AUGAGAGUCAGGUGUGCCAAGGGGUUCC
rnacentral:sRNA from 1 species